UACGUAGGGUGCGAGCGUUGUCCGGAAUUAUUGGGCGUAAAGGGCUCGUAGGCGGUUUGUCGCGUCGGGAGUGAAAACACCGGGCUUAACUCGGUGCUGGCUUUCGAUACGGGCAGGCUAGAGGUAUGCAGGGGAGAACGGAAUUCCUGGUGUAGCGGUGAAAUGCGCAGAUAUCAGGAGGAACACCGGUGGCGAAGGCGGUUCUCUGGGCAUGUCCUGACGCUGAGGCACGAAAGCUAGGGGAGCAAACAGC
rnacentral:rRNA from 1 species